rnacentral:misc_RNA from 1 species
GAUGAAGAACGCAGCGAAAUGCGAUAAGUAAUGUGAAUUGCAGAAUUCAGUGAAUCAUCGAAUCUUUGAACGCACCUUGCGCCUUUUGGUAUUCCGAAAGGCAUGCCUGUUUGAGUGUCAUGAAAUCUCAAUCCUCCUAGGUUUUUGACCUGGUUGGACUUGGACAUGGGCGUCUGCCAGCAAUGGCUCGCCUUAAAUGACUUAGUGGAACAUCCCACAUCAGUGUUAGACGUAAUAAGUUUCGUCUCUCCUUGUGGUGAUGACUGCUCAUAAUCUGCCAUCGCGCACUUUUGACUUUGACCUCAAAUCAGGUAGGGCUACCCGCUGAACUUAAGCAUAUCAUAAGCGGAGGA